CUCGUAGGCGGCCAACUAAGUCAGACGUGAAAUCCCUCGGCUUAACCGGGGAACUGCGUCUGAUACUGGAUGGCUUGAGGUUGGGAGAGGGAUGCGGAAUUCCAGGUGUAGCGGUGAAAUGCGUAGAUAUCUGGAGGAACACCGGUGGCGAAGGCGACAUCCUGGACCAAUUCUGACGCUGAGGAGCGAAAGCCAGGGAGCAAACG
rnacentral:rRNA from 1 species